rnacentral:lncRNA from 1 species
GGUGGCCAGAAAGCCAGAAUGAAAGCCAAGAAGUUAAUUGAAUGAAGGAGCAAGGAGGAGGAAAGUGAAUCUGCUUACCUCGAGAAAGGACCCCAAAGAGUCCCAAACCCGCUGUUCGAGAUCGACGCGGAUGAUCCUUUGGAUGACUUCGGGCAGGACGCACCCGUCGACCAGUCGCUUUAUCAGGUCCCUAUCAUUAAAGGGAUUCUCCACCAACUCUUCCUUGGAGCCGUGGGAUUCUUCGAUGGU